AGGUGGUAGAGUUAUUCCCCCACCACCAUUCCUACCUAAGCUGGGUUGGUCCCUGCUGUUACCAAGAAAACGCGGCCAUAGACAUGACUCUACAUGGCUUACAAGGUACUCUGUGGAAUAUGUAUGACUCAAUCUUAUGUUACUGAACUAGCAGUGUCAAUGGUGAACUUCAUCAGCUGUUAUUUUUUCAUCAGAUGUAGAAGCUGAAUACCCUCCCACCCAACAGUCUGUUGGCUGAGCAGUGGUAGUUUUACUGUUGAGUUUUUGAGAUCAGAGCUGAUACUGAGAUUUUUCGGAACCAGAAGAAAUGCACUCAACCGAUAUUACAGAAUACUGAAUGGCUUUGUAAUUUAGCUUCUGUUGCAGCCUUGAUAAUGUUUUGUAAUGAAUGCAACCAAAAACUGAAACAGUGCGCAACAGUGAGAAUAGCUACUCCCACUGUAGGUGGGAUUCACUGGGAUUCAGAGAAAAGCUUCCGACUCAAGGAGAACUGUAGAGUGGUGCUUCUCAAAGGGUGGCCCUCAGACCAGCAGCAUGAGCGUCACCUGACUAUCAUUAGAAAUGCAAAUUCUACUGAAUCAGAAGCUCUGGAGGUGAAGCCAGCAAAACAGUGCUUAGAUGUGAAACAGACUACCGUAAAGUAAUUUUGACGACAACUAACAGUGUUUGAAUCAUGAAGUCAUGUCAAGCUGCUUUAUAUACUUCCUGUGCUAUCAAAGGUAAGAUAAGCGGCAGGAGCUCUAUUCUCACAUGAACUGGCAGCAGAUAUACUUUCUGAGCUCAAAGAAUAUGUCCAGGACCUCAAUGCAAGUGUAAAGGAAAUACCCAUUUGUCAAAAUCCAUUCAAUUAUGCAAUUGAGGAGCUUCCACCUAACCUUCAACCAGGAAGUGAGUCGGGAAGUGAGUAAUCUGCAAUGUAAUAACAUCCUAAAAGAAAAAUAUCAAGAGAAGAAAGAACCUAAUGGAAUUCUUUCAAUGCCUUCCAAGUGAUAAUUAUGCUCCAUGAAAAUCAUCUUCUCGUGGAUUAAUAAAAUUUUUUGCUGACCUCUGCUCUAGAACCAGAUACUACCUGGACACUUUUAAAAGCAUGGACUGAAUGAACUGUCUCUACAGCUGGAUGGCUUGAGUCUGUAUGCUGCUGGCUCUGCCAUUAGCAGCUAUGGGAUCAUGAGUAAGUUCUUCAAUCUUUCUCUGCCUCACCUGUAAAUGGGAGUAAGCAAUGGUAUCUAUUUUACAGGGUUGUUAAGAGGGCUAAGUGAGUUAGUAAAUGCAAAACACAGGAAAGAGUGCCCGGCACAAAGUAAGCAUUAACUCAAUGGCAGCUGUUAGCUUAAGACAAAAGCACUGCUUCACCCAGUUGGUAGUCCAAUUAUAAAUCUCAUCCUCCUAAAACGUCCACUGAAUAAAACAUUUAAGAUGUUUACAUACAUUCCUGGGUGAAAAGAAAAUCCAAAUGCAUGAAGCUAAUAAUAGAGGAUAACCAAGCCCUUUUCCAACUGCCCUUUGCUUCUGCCAUCAAAUAGAAGACAUCGUGGGCCAUACCAACAAGACAGCAGCUCUCAUACAAUGGUUUCUUACGUGGAGGAGAUUGGAUUACUAUUUUAAUAUUCUAAAUGUCACGUAUUACAUUCUUUAUAUUCU